UACAGAGGGCUCAAGCGUUGUUCGGAUUCAUUGGGCGUAAAGGGUGCGUAGGCGGCGCGGUAAGUCGGGGGUGAAAUUUCGGAGCUUAACUCCGAAACUGCAUUCGAUACUGCCGUGCUUGAGGACUGGAGAGGAGACUGGAAUUUACGGUGUAGCAGUGAAAUGCGUAGAGAUCGUAAGGAACACCAGUGGCGAAGGCGGGGCUCUGGACAGUUCCUGACACUGAGGCACGAAGGCCAGGGGAGCAAACGGG
rnacentral:rRNA from 1 species